rnacentral:rRNA from 1 species
AAUGAACGCUGGCGGCGUGCGUAACACAUGCAAGUCGAACGUGAAAGUCCCCUUCGGGGGAUGAGUAAAGUGGCAAACGGGUGAGUAACACGUGGGUAACCUGCCCUCUGGUGGGGGAUAACCCUGCGAAAGCGGGGCUAAUACCGCAUAACAAGUCGCUAAAUAAUUAGUCGACUUCAAAGCCUUCGGGCGCUAGAGGAGGGGCCCGCGUCCCAUUAGCUAGUUGGUAGGGUAACGGCCUACCAAGGCUGCGAUGGGUAGCCGGCCUGAGAGGGUGUCCGGCCACACUGGAACUGAGACACGGUCCAGACUCCUACGGGAGGCAGCAGUGGGGAAUUUUGGACAAUGGGCGCAAGCCUGAUCCAGCAAUGCCGCGUGCAGGACGAAGGCCUUCGGGUUGUAAACUGCUUUUGUACGGAACGAAAAGCUUCUGGUUAAUACCUGGGAGUCAUGACGGUACCGUAAGAAUAAGCACCGGCUAACUACGUG